GACCUGAGAGCGGAAGCAAAGCCUGCGGGGCGGAGGCACAAAACUGAAAGUUCUGAACUCCUGUUUCCACGCCAGUGUCAUAUUUAUUUUUACCCACAUUAGGAUGCAAGGUUGUGCUGAGCAGAAGAUUGUUGCGAAUGAAGUGAAGUGAAGUUCAGGCGGAAAGGUCCCACCUCUUCUUCAGGAGGUAAUCGAAAUGUUGAGCAGACCUUGGCGGUGGGCAGCAAGCAGUGCUCCAGGUCUUUUCCAGACGGGUCAUCGGUAAAGAGGGCAAAGCCGGACAGCUGAGGACUCCGCAUGCCUAUCCUC